CGGGACGGGUGAGUAACGCGUGGGUAACCUGCCUCAUACAGGGGGAUAACAGUUAGAAAUGACUGCUAAUACCGCAUAAGCGCACAAAACCGCAUGGUUUGGUGUGAAAAACUGAGGUGGUAUGAGAUGGACCCGCGUCUGAUUAGCUAGUUGGAGAGGUAACGGCUCACCAAGGCAACGAUCAGUAGCCGACCUGAGAGGGUGACCGGCCACAUUGGGACUGAGACACGGCCCAAACUCCUACGGGAGGCAGCAG
rnacentral:rRNA from 1 species